GGUGGAUGAGGUUGCCAUUCCUUUCCCCAUCCCAGCCUGGGGUUCUGUGGUCUUACGUUUUGUUAGGGUCAACCUGGAGUUGAGGUCUCAGUAAGCAGGUAGUGUAGAUUGUUCACGUCUUCCAAAGGUAGGAUCAUUACAGACUCAGGGUGGGUGGGUGUAGACCUUUGCUCUGGAUGGUGGCUUUGGCAUCCUUCCAGCGAAAGCUUUGGGAGAUCCAGCCCUUCCUUAACUCAUGGAUUUCUUGUCAGCCUUCUUGUCACCAUGUGUCUCACCCUGCCAUUUCAGAAAAUUGUUCGUUGGUGGCCUGAGCUGGGAUAUCAGCAAAAAGGACCCAAAAGACUAUUUUACCAAAUUUGGAGAGGUUGUUGACCGUACUAUAAAAAUGGAUCCCAACGUUGGAAGAUCAAGAGAGUUGGGGUUUAUCCUCUUUAAAGAUGGAGCCAGUGUGAGGAGGUCCUAGACCAGAAGGAGCGCAAGGUGAGUGGCCGUAGCAUGAACC